UCCUCCUUCGCCCCCCAACUCCAGGCCUGGCUCUGCCAACGCGCGUCAGCCCGCCCCGCACCGCAUCCGCCCCCACCCCAGCCCUCACUGGUGGCACCGGCGGGCGCACCGCUCACCAUUCCGUCAGCCCGCAGCUUGAGGCAGGAACCGAAGUCGGCCAAGCGGAUGUGGCCGCAGCGGUCGAGCAGGAUGUUGUCGGGUUUGAUGUCCCUGCCCAGCGGGGAGGUGGGAGCGGAGGGGGCAGAACCCCCAAUUCUGCCAGAUGUCACUAGGCAGAGAUCCACUCCCCCCGAGAAGAGGACCCAGAGGCCUCCUGGUGCCCAGAGUGCACAGCUCCCCAGACCCCCCGCUCAGACUCCGCAGAGCUCUCCCAUUCCAGCCUUGGGGUGGACUCACCAGGUAGUUCUCGUCCUGGAAGGCGAAGUGCAGCUGCGUGAUCCAGCGCCGGUCCCCGUUCACCAGCACAUCCCUCUCUUCGCGGAAGCACGACACCUGCGGGGCAGCGGGAGGCGCUGAAGCGGUUGGGGGGCUGGGGGUUGCGGGGAGACUCCCCCGCGCCCAGCACAGCCGGCACGGGCCUCACCUCGCCUCUCUUCAGCAUAUCCCACUUGUUCAUGAUCUUCAUGGCGUACACCUGGCCCGUCUGCUUCAUCUUCACGACCGCGACCUGGAGGCCGACACGCGGGGGCUGGGGUGGCGGCGGGGAGGAACACCCACCGCCCAGGCAGGACUCCACCGAGACCCCGCCCACCGCGCCACGCCCAUCGGUCUUAAGCCCCGCCCCUGCUGGUUUUAGGCUCUAAACUCAUUCAUCAAUUUCUAAGGCCCCGCCCCCAGUCCCGGGACCUGCCUAAGGCAGGGCAAGGCCGGCUCCGGCUGUGGCGCAGGGCUCACCUCGCUGAACGCCCCGCGUCCGAUCACCUUCAGGAUCUCGAAGUCCUCCCUCUGCAGCCGGGCCUCCUUAAGCCUCGCCGCGAUGGGCUCCACUGGGGGCGGGGCGGUGAGAACCGAGGGUCACCGGGACUGACAGUGGAGACGAGGAGGGAUUCCCACACACUGUGCCUCAGUCUCCCCUCGCUGAUCCUCACUCUCAACCUCCCCCUCUCUUUGCCUGCCCUUUAAGACUGUUGGCUUCCCAAAGGCUUCCCCACAUAAGCACUGGGUGAGGUUUUGGGGAUGCAAAACUGCCCUCCUACAGAAGUGGGAGGCCUGGGAACCCCUUUUUGGGACGAGGCAUGGGGUCAGGGCUCCUGUGGGAGCAGGGGUGGGGUACGGGGACACGAGUCUGCAGAAAGGAGGCCCCGGAACAGGGAGGAUCAGCCCAGUUCUAGCUCCCUGGGCCCCCACCCCCAAUUGGGGUGAUGGGAAAGGGUCCGAACAUGCAGCUUUACCCAGUCCCUCUAGGCUCUUGGACCACACUUAGGGAAACAGUGACUUGGGGGGUGGGGCCGGGAGAAGGAGCUGAAGAGGGGACAAGGCCAUGGUCGACCCGCAUCCAGGGCUCCAGGCCCAGUUCAAAUGUUUUCUCAGUCCUUGCAAUCCGGGAGCAGCGCUCUGUUCUCCCCUAGUUACAGACGGGAACUCAAGGCUCCGACAGGUGAACUCCUUUGCCCAAGGUCCUACAGCUAGGAAUGCUAACAGGGCAGUUUGGGAAUAGAGGGGGGGAGUGGGGACUGAGGCGGGGUGGAGGCAGGAGACUCAGGGACUUGGGAGAGGGAGGCCUAGACCCCCAGGGGUGGAAGCCACUGGAGACCUCGGGUAGGGUGGAGAGAGGAUGGGGGUGAGUAGGAAUGAGGGGAGAUACAGUGGUUAUGGAGGGGAGAGAGGCGUCCAGAUGGGGUUCGGGGAGAGUGGGCCAGCAGGGAAGAACCAGCGAGGGCCCAGGAUUGGGGAGGGAGGAGAGAGCCAAGACAUUGAGCCCUUUUAAGGCAGUGGGAACCCAGGCCCCCUCCCCCGCCAAGCCCGCAGGGGAGGGGCCCGCAGGAUACUGCUCGGGCCACAAAAGGAGUGCUCCUCCCAGGAGAGCCGGACCCCUGCCCCCACCGCAGGUCUCAGUUUACCCCGCAGGUCAAACUUCAUCCCCUGCAAAAAGGAGUCUACGAGAGUUGCUAAGGGGCUAGGGGGCGUGGGGGUAAGAUUCUUGAGAGACUGAGUGGCCUGGCCCCUGACCUCCACCUUCCCAUCUGCGAAUUGGGAGGCAGGAGAGGAGCAGGGCCUGGGUUCCGAGGAGAUGGACACAAGGAAAGAAGGGGCGGGAGAAGGCAGGAAGAGGAAACCCAGGGACAGAGGAGCCUAAGGACCCAGAGCAAGCCGUGGAGGGACAGGCCGUGGAGGGACAGACGGCAGGCUGUCACAGGCGCCCCAGUGAGCCCGAGUCCGGCCAGGAGAGGGUGGGGACCGGCGAGGCAGGAGGCGGCGGUUCAAGCAUCGUCCCUCUGGAGGACUGGACCUAUUUCUGGGGAGGACUUGGCAGGAAGGGGCUUUGUGGGAGAAGCGGAGGACGGAGGCCAUGAAGGAGAAUGAACGGGUCUGUGGAGCUGGAGUGAAGGCUGACCCUGCAGACUCAAAGGAACCAAAAUGGAUGGGCGGUUCCUCCUCCUGGGGGUAGACGGGGGACAGGGAGGCUUCUGUCUGGAGCUGGUUGUCCCCUAGGGCCUGCCUGAGUCACUGAGCCUGUCAGUGCCUGGGCACCUGUUGGGGCAGCCGGAGAGGCUGGCGCCUAACACCUGCCCAUGGACCGCGCCCCUGGCAGCUGCCCCAUCCUGUCUCUGUGCGAGCCCCUUGCUCUGGGAACCAGGGGGAGGCCAUAGGGUGUGUGCGGGCACCUAAGAGACAGGAGUCCCAGCAUGUCCCUAGGCCUGGACUGGGGGGUAGGGGUGCAGGGGGCCAUGGGGGGCUGAUCCCAGCCCAGCCCACCACGGCUCCCAAGUCAUGGUUCUGAGUCAUGGUUGCCCUGGCCUCUGCUGACCCCACUCUGCCCAGCAAGAGUGGCACAGGGGUAGGGGCAUGUCACCCCAAGACCCAGGCCCCAGCUCUGGGCCCCUGAAUAGGAAGCUCUCCCCAUGUCUGCCCUGCCCUCCAAGAGCCUCCGACGCCCAAUCCCAUUCCCUGCCUCUGCCCUACCCCCACCUCCCAGUGGGGAGGGGGCAUGCAGGCAGGUACUCACCC